GGCGACAACUACGACAGCACCUACGUCAGGAGAAGUCAAACAACGCUCAAUGGCGGCAAACCCACUGUCUCCGACUGUCUCCGAAGAAUGUUCAACAUGUUGAAAAUCCAGAACUGAACAUACAGGUUUGAUUUGCCUCUGGCUUGAUUGUGCUAUCUCUCUAUUUCUGAAGUUUUUUCUGUUAUUAUUCGUCCUGACUGGACAAUUUUUUGUUACAAAAAGAUGAAACGGCCUGUAUUCUUUUAUGAUACUCUGUCUAGGGGACGGAACUCAAUGUACAAUUCCAACUACGGAGGUCAAUUCAAUUUUAGCCACCAUUGGUGGCCUCUUGUUUUUAAGGUAUCGCUUUUUUGAUACCUUAAAGUCACUUUUAUUUUAAAUUCACUUUCACGUGUUUCACUUGUUAAUUUUUUUCAUCACUAACACAAUAUGUGCUUUAUUCUUUUUUUCAUUGAGGUUCAAUAGAGGGAGGAGAUGUAAAACAACUUCAGAAGUCUGGGAUGAUCACCCAAAAUCCUGAGGUAUUUAGCUGCACCAUAUGAAUCAAAACCACCAAAACUGAUUUACAAUGCAAGACAAUAGACGAAUAAAGAAUGGAGGAAUCACAUUUUGUAGCAGGAAUAUUAGGGGUGCGAAUGA